rnacentral:misc_RNA from 1 species
GAUGAAGAACAUAGUGAAAUGCGAUAAGUAAUGUGAAUUGCAGAAUUCAGUGAAUCAUCGAAUCUUUGAACGCACAUUGCGCCCGCUGGUAUUCCGGCGGGCAUGCCUGUUCGAGCGUCAUUUCAACCCUCAAGCUCUCCGGAGUUUGGUGUUGGGGCGCCUGGGGCUUUUCGACCUCAGGGCCCUCAAGUCCAUCGGCGGGACCGCCAGGACACUGAGCGCAGUAGUAUUAUUUCGCUCGGUAGGAUCUUCCACGGCGGGUCGAUCUGGCCGCUAAACCCCCCAAUUCUCACCAAAGGUUGACCUCGGAUCAGGUAGGAAUACCCGCUGAACUUAAGCAUAUCAAUAAGCGGAGGA